rnacentral:rRNA from 1 species
AGAGUUUGAUCCUGGCUCAGGACGAACGCUGGCGGCGGGCUUAACACAUGCAAGUCGAACGAACAGAUCACCCAAACUUCGGUUAGGUGUAAUGUUAGUGGCGAACGGGUGAGUAACACGUAGGUAACCUGCCCUUGAGUGGGGAUAACCAUUGGAAACGAUGGCUAAUACCGCAUAAAGUCCCGACAACUCCUGUUGUUGGGAUGAAAACUCCGGUGCUCGAGGAUGGGCCUGCGGUGGAUUAGGCUGUUGGUGAGGUAACGGCUCACCAAACCUGCGAUCCAUAGCUGGUCUGAGAGGAUGAUCAGCCACACUGGCACUGAGACACGGGCCAGACUCCUACGGGAGGCAGCAGUGAGGAAUAUUGGGCAAUGGGGGAAACCCUGACCCAGCCAUGCCGCGUGCAGGAUGACACCCCUAUGGGGCGUAAACUGCUUUUAUAUGGGAAGAACCCUUCCGAUUCGUCGGGAGCUGACGGUACCAUACGAAUAAGGACCGGCUAACUCCGUGCCAGCAGCCGCGGUAAUACGGAGGGUCCAAGCGUUGUCCGGAUUUAUUGGGUGUAAAGGGUGUGUAGGCGGGCUUGCAAGUCAGAGGUGAAAGCCCACGGCUCAACCGUGGAACUGCCUCUGAAACUGCAAAUCUUGAGUCCUGGAGAGGUUGUUAGAAUUCGUGGUGUAGCGGUGAAAUGCGUAGAUAUCACGAGGAAUACCGGUUACGAAGGUGGACAACUGGACAGGUACUGACGCUGAGGCACGAAAGCGUGGGGAGCAAACAGGAUUAGAUACCCUGGUAGUCCACGCCGUAAACGAUGAUCACUCGGUGUCGCGGAUUUAUUCUGCGGUGCCUAAGCUAACGCAUUAAGUGAUCCACCUGGGGAGUACGAUCGCAAGGUUGAAACUCAAAGGAAUUGACGGGGGCCCGCACAAGCGGUGGAGCAUGUGGCUUAAUUCGAUGCAACGCGAGGAACCUUACCUGGGCUCGAACGCAUCCGGACAGUCACCCGAAAGGGGAUUUUUCUUCGGAACCGGAAGCGAGGUGCUGCAUGGCUGUCGUCAGUUCGUGUCGUGAGAUGUUGGGUUAAGUCCCGCAACGAACGCAACCCCUAUCGUUAGUUACCAGCGGAUUAUGCCGGGGACUCUAGCGAGACUGCCUGCGUAAGCAGUGAGGAAGGUGGGGAUGACGUCAAGUCAUCAUGGCCCUUAUGCCCAGGGCUGCACACGUGCUACAAUGGUCGAUACAACGGGCAGCCACCCCGCGAGGGGGAGCUAAUCCAUAAAGUCGGCCUCAGUUCGGAUCGGAGUCUGCAACUCGACUCCGUGAAGUCGGAAUCGCUAGUAAUCGCGUAUCAGCAACGACGCGGUGAAUACGUUCCCGGGCCUUGUACACACCGCCCGUCAAGCCAUGAAAGUGGGGGGCAUCCGAAGUCGCCGAGCUAACCCUCCGGGGAGGCAAGCGCCGAAGAUGAACUCCGCGAUUGGGACUAAGUCGUAACAAGGUAACC